UUACGGCCAUAUCACAUUGAAACACCAGUUCUCAUACGAUCACCAAAGUUAAGCAACACUGAGCCUGGUCAAGACCUAGACGGGUAACCACUGGGGAAUAUCAGAGGCUGUAAG